GGCAAGUUGGCCGAGUGGUUAAGGCGGUGGGUUUAAGUUCCACUAUCGCGAGAUGCGUGGGUUCGAACCCCACACUUGUCA